GAUAAGCUAAUGUACAUAUGUAUCAUCAUUCUUUUAAGCUAAAUCUACAUGGUGACAAAGUGUGACGGUUUAUUAUUUAUAUUAUUUAUUUAAAGACGCAUCA